UACGUAGGCAGCGAGCGUUGUUCGGAUUUACUGGGCGUAAAGAGUGCGUAGGCGGUUUUCUACGUUUGGUGUGAAAUCUCCCGGCUUAACUGGGAGGGUGCGCCGAAAACUGGAAGGCUUGAGUAUGGGAGAGGUAAGCGGAAUUCCUGGUGUAGCGGUGAAAUGCGUAGAUAUCAGGAGGAACACCUGCGGUGUAGACGGCUUACUGGACCAUAACUGACGCUGAGGCACGAAAGCGUGGGUAGCAAACAGG
rnacentral:rRNA from 1 species